ensembl:misc_RNA
CUACAAACAUCUCUUCUCUUGGCUCCCCUUAAUUUAAUUCGUUUUUAUAAAUAAUAGCCGUACUAAUAUCACAGUCUUCAGCAACGAAUCUGACAAACUGAAGGUGAGAUGGAGCAUUGGUCAUUGUGGCUGGCCAGAGACUAG